UACGAAGGGGGCUAGCGUUGCUCGGAAUCACUGGGCGUAAAGGGUGCGUAGGCGGGUCUUUAAGUCAGGGGUGAAAUCCUGGAGCUCAACUCCAGAACUGCCUUUGAUACUGGCAACCUUGAGUCCGGGAGAGGUGAGUGGAACUGCGAGUGUAGAGGUGAAAUUCGUAGAUAUUCGCAAGAACACCGGUGGCGAAGGCGGCAUCCUGGACCGGUAUUGACGCUGAGGAGCGAAAGCCAGGGGAGCAAACGGG
rnacentral:rRNA from 1 species